AUGGCUUCCAUGGGGUUCAGCUACGCACAGGUACACGUGAAGCAAGAGAGACUGACGAGGAGGAUCAGCGACAGCAAGAAGGCUUCGGCAACGGCGACGGUAGACAAGUCGAUGACCCGAGAAGAAGAGAAGAUGAAGGAGCGUUUCAUGGGUGAAGAGGAGAAGGCAACUUGCAACUCAUGGACCGCCGGGAGGGUGCAUCCGCGCGCUUCUUCCCCAGCGGCUGCGGCGCCAAAGGGUGGGCACCGAUGA
rnacentral:rRNA from 1 species